rnacentral:rRNA from 1 species
AUUGAACGCUGGCGGCAUGCCUUACACAUGCAAGUCGAACGGCAGCACGGGAGCAAUCCUGGUGGCGAGUGGCGAACGGGUGAGUAAUAUAUCGGAACGUGCCCAGUCGUGGGGGAUAACGCAGCGAAAGCUGUGCUAAUACCGCAUACGAUCUAUGGAUGAAAGCGGGGGAUCGCAAGACCUCGCGCGAUUGGAGCGGCCGAUAUCAGAUUAGCUAGUUGGUGGGGUAAAGGCCCACCAAGGCGACGAUCUGUAGCUGGUCUGAGAGGACGACCAGCCAGACUGGAACUGAGACACGGUCCAGACUCCUACGGGAGGCAGCAGUGGGGAAUUUUGGACAAUGGGCGCAAGCCUGAUCCAGCAAUGCCGCGUGCAGGAUGAAGGCCUUCGGGUUGUAAACUGCUUUUGUACGGAACGAAACGGUCCUUUCUAAUACAGGGGGCUAAUGACGGUACCGUAAGAAUAAGCACCGGCUAACUACGUGCCAGCCGCCGCGGUAACAC